AUUGAACGCUAGCGGGAUGCUUUACACAUGCAAGUCGAACGGCAGCGCGGACUUCGGUCUGGCGGCGAGUGGCGAACGGGUGAGUAAUGUAUCGGAACGUGCCCAGUAGCGGGGGAUAACUACGCGAAAGCGUAGCUAAUACCGCAUACGCCCUACGGGGGAAAGCCGGGGAUCGUAAGACCUUGCACUAUUUGAGCGGCCGAUAUCGGAUUAGCUAGUUGGUGAGGUAACGGCUCACCAAGGCGACGAUCCGUAGCUGGUUUGAGAGGACGACCAGCCACACUGGGACUGAGACACGGCCCAGACUCCUACGGGAGGCAGCAGUGGGGAAUUUUGGACAAUGGGGGCAACCCUGAUCCAGCCAUCCCGCGUGUGCGAUGAAGGCCUUCGGGUUGUAAAGCACUUUUGGCAGGAAAGAAACGACGCGGGCUAAUACCCCGUGGAACUGACGGUACCUGCAGAAUAAGCACCGGCUAACUACGUG
rnacentral:rRNA from 1 species